CUCCAGGGUGUUUCUGAGCACCGCUCCCAUGUAUCAGACUGGCUGCCAACUACAGUUUGACAAGAUACAAAAAACCUCAAUGAAACAGGCAGCCAAUGAAGGUGCUGUCUCUGCCCGACAAAAACCAUGCCAUCGCGGGACAGACAGAACACAGAACACAGGAUGAAAUGUUCCUAACACAAAGACAACAACUAUAAAAUACAGAAUCUUUUCAAUGCCAAUUCAUCUGAAAAUAUCCAUACCUCUGCCCUGAUCACUGCAUAGACCCUAACCCCCUAUACAUGGUAGAUAGGCCAGAUGUCUCUUCCCAUCCCUUAUAAAGCUUCCUCCUUUUCUUUGUUCAGUACUGACAGCCUCUUGUUUGCCAUCAGUCCACCACUGCCCAAGUGAAUAAAGUCUGUUUUCACUAACCUGCUCAAGUGGUCUCAUUCCUCUCCAUUUGUUACACCAAGUACCCAUAGAGUAUUCUUAAGAGAGUUAAUAGUAUUUGUAUUUUUAAAAAUCAUUUGUAUACAAUACUUAGUUUCAGGUCCUUCUCGACCUAAAAGGAAAAAAAAAGAAAGUUUUCCCGGAGGCUGGAUUCACCAGAUUUCUCAGAAAUAACCACUGGGAUUCACUACACAGAUCACUGAGCUCCAGUCAGA
ensembl:lincRNA